UACGGGAGGCAGCAGUGGGGAAUAUUGCACAAUGGGCGAAAGCCUGAUGCAGCUAUGCCGCGUGUAUGAAGAAGGCCUUAGGGUUGUAAAGUACUUUCAUCGGGGAGGAAAAACAAAACUAAUAAUUUUAUUUCUUGACGUUACCCGAAAAAGAAGCACCGGCUAACUCCGUGCCAGCAGCCGCGGUAAUACGGAGGGUGCUAGCGUUAAUCAGAAUUACUGGGCGUAAAGAGCACGUAGGUGGUUUUUUAAGUCAGAUGUGAAAUCCCUGGGCUUAACCUAGGAACUGCAUUUUGAAACUGAAAUACUAGAGUAUCGUAGAGGGAGGUAGGAAUUCUAGGUGUAGCGGUGAAAUGCGUAGAUAUCUGGAGGAAUACCUGUGGCGAAAGCGGCCUCCUAAACGAAUACUGACACUGAGGUGCGAAAGCGUGGGGAGCAAACAGGGAUUAGAUACC
rnacentral:rRNA from 1 species